ACCAUGAUGCAAUAAUGAAAGGUGUUAUACGUUGGCAACUUCUCGCUCUAAUCCGCCAUCUUGAACUACCUUAGGAGAAACUGUGCUGUUUCUUUGCUAUUUUCACUGAACAUUUCCCAAAAUAUUAGAAAAAAUUCUGAACAAGCUACAUUGAUUCAAUUUUCGUUGUUCGUUUUGUUCUUAUUCGCUGACAUUUGUUUUCCAAUUGCGUGAAAUUUGGUCAUUUCCUUAGUGUUUCGCUGACCGACCUGUGCUGGUAUUGUGAUUAAGAGCUAAUACACAUUUUUCGGACGAUUCUGCUGUGCUGCGUUCCUGCUCCGCCUGUAUAUUGCUCCGCCCGUAUUUUAUAGUGUUGCGUUCCUGUUGCGCCUUUGCAUUAGUGUGUGCGUUGUGAUUUAGACACGUUGAAAUUUUUUGUAUGCUUCUGCUGUGCUGCGUUCCUGCUCCACCCGUGUAUUAGAUUGCUGCGUUCCUGUUAACAUACAUAUCGUCGCUUAAAGUACAAAACCGCGUAACUGACAUUUGCUGCUAAAAAUUGGAUUCGCUCACACACGUUUUUGGAUCAAUCCUUAUCCAUUCUUCCUGAAAUAUACUAGCCAAAAAUGCGAUUGCUUUUUACAAAAAGAUAACCAUUUUGAAAUAUGAGUGUUUUUACUCUCUAGAAAUUAAUUUAUGCAACCUCGCAUACGUGGGUUUGCAUUAUCUCUAUACGCGGUUUUGCAAUUUAUUGAUACAUGGUUUUGUACUUUAAACGACGAUAUGUAUGUAGAUGUAUGUACAUGUAUAUCACAUAUAUUGACUUAGAUAUGUAUACACAAUU